GACCAGACUCCUACGGGAGGCAGCAGUGGGGAAUAUUGCACAAUGGGGGAAACCCUGAUGCAGCAACGCCGCGUGAGUGAAGAAGUAUUUCGGUAUGUAAAGCUCUAUCAGCAGGGAAGAAAAUGACGGUACCCGAGUAAGAAGCCCCGGCUAACUACGUGCCAGCAGCCGCGGUAAUACGUAGGGGGCAAGCGUUAUCCGGAUUUACUGGGUGUAAAGGGAGCGUAGACGGCGAUACAAGUCUGAAGUGAAAGCCCGGGGCUCAACCCCGGGACUGCUUUGGAAACUGUGUUGCUGGAGUGCUGGAGAGGCAAGCGGAAUUCCUAGUGUAGCGGUGAAAUGCGUAGAUAUUAGGGGGAACACCAGUGGCGAAGGCGGCUUACUGGACUGUAACUGACGUUGAGGCUCGAAAGCGUGGGGAGCAAACAGGAUUAGAUACCCCGGUAAA
rnacentral:rRNA from 1 species